AACGCACCUUGCGCUCCUUGGUAUUCCGAGGAGCAUGCCUGUUUGAGUGUCAGUAAAUUCUCAACUCCUCUGGCUUUUUGUUGCUAGUUGGAGCUUGGAUAUGGAGGACAUUGCCGGCCUUGAUAGGUCAGCUCCUCUGAAAUGCAUUAGUGGAACCGUUUGCGAUCCGUCACAGGUGUGAUAAUUAUCUACGCCAGUGGGUUGCUCUCUGUAUUGUUCAGCUACCAACCGUCUGUAAAGACAACCAAUUACUGAAUAUUUGACCUCAAAUCAGGUAGGACUACCCGCUGAACUUAA
rnacentral:misc_RNA from 1 species